rnacentral:rRNA from 1 species
GUACAGGGUAUUCUCUUUCAUUGUUCAAACUGAGCUCAACUCCUGAUGCAUGGAGAAAAGGCCUUCACAAGCCUCUGCUAUUGUGUACAUAGUUUAUACUAAGUGACCCAUAGGUUGGGGAGGCGGUAAUAGUGGCGGUGUAGGUGGAAGCAGCGGUGGAGGAGGAGGAUGAGGUAGCCAACACUGUUUUUUUAUUUUGAUGUGCCAAUCGCACAUCCCCGUGACGGCGACUUUGCAUUCGGAUAUCAUCCAUAUCAACUUUCGAUGCCAGUUUCUGCGCCUACCAUGGUGACCACGGGUAACGGAAAUCAGGGUUCCAUUCCGUACAGGGACCCUGAGAAACGGCUAUCACAUGCAAGGAAGACA